AUACGUAGGGUGCGAGCGUUGUCCGGAAUUACUGGGCGUAAAGAGCUCGUAGGUGGUUUGUCGCGUCAUCUGUGAAAUUCCGGGGCUUAACUCCGGGCGUGCAGGCGAUACGGGCAUAACUUGAGUACUGUAGGGGAGACUGGAAUUCCUGGUGUAGCGGUGAACUGCGCAGAUAUCAGGAGGAACACCGGUGGCGAAGGCGGGUCUCUGGGAAGUAACUGACGCUGAGGAGCGAAAGCAUGGGUAGCGAACAGGAUUAGAUACCCUGGUAGUCCAUGCCGUAAACGGUGGGCGCUAGGUGUAGGGGUCUUCCACGACUUCUGUGCCGUAGCUAACGCAUUAAGCGCCCCGCCUGGGGAGUACGGCCGCAAGGCUAAAACUCAAAUGAAUUGGCGGGG
rnacentral:rRNA from 1 species